UAAGGGUUCCUGGGUCAAGCUGAUCUGCCCAGGGUAAGUCGGGACCUAAGGCGAGGCCGACAGGCGUAGUCGAUGGACAACCGGUUGAUAUUCCGGUACCCGCUUUGAAACGCCCAAUAUCGAAUCAGGCGAUGCUAAGUCCGUGAAGCCGCCCUGGAGUCUUCGGACAAAGGGGAGUGGUGGAGCCGACGAACCAGACUUGUAGUAGGUAAGCGAUGGGGUGACGCAGGAAGGUAGUCCAGCCCGGGCGGUGGUAGUCCCGGGGUAAGGGUGUAGGCCGUGUGAUAGGCAAAUCCGUCACACAUUAAGSCUGAGACCUGAUGCCGAGCCGAUUGUGGUGAAGUGGAUGAUCCUAUGCUGUCGAGAAAAGCCUCUAGCGAGUUUCAUGGCGGCCCGUACCCUAAACCGACUCAGGUGGUCAGGUAGAGAAUACCGAGGCGUUCGGGUGAACUAUGGUUAAGGAACUCGGCAAAAUGCCCCCGUAACUUCGGGAGAAGGGGGGCCAUGUCUGGUGAGGGAACUUGCUUCCUGAGCUGGGUGUGGCCGCAGAGACCAGCGAGAAGCGACUGUUUACUAAAAACACAGGUCCGUGCGAAGCCGUAAGGCGAUGUAUACGGACUGACGCCUGCCCGGUGCUGGAACGUUAAGGGGACCGGUUAGC
rnacentral:rRNA from 1 species